AAUAAACACAAUGAAUGCUGCUGUUCCAAAGCCAGGAACUACACACACUGGUAUGGGCUUCAGGGAACAACAGCUUGUGCAUUCUGGGAUGAAAUGAUCCUCAUUUAUGUGACCUGAAAUAUGCACUGAAUCCAGUGUUUCCUUGGCAUUUGGUGAUCUACAGCCUUUUGAUUGUAAAAACAGACAUUUUAAAAUUUAUAUCUCUUAUUAAUCAAAAAUGAGUCAAAGAAGAUGGAGCACAAAGGAAAAAACACACUGAAGGUUUUACCUCACUGUCUGGG